UUGAAAUUUCAAACACUGAUAAAAAUAAAUAAGCACGCUAAUAGCAAGAAAUCAGGAUUCAAUCUCCAAAUUUGAAUCGGCCUUUUGUCGACUUCCUUUCCCAGACGCCCCUUUGUUCAUCCUCUUCAUCUUUUCUCUCUCGGCAACUUAAUCAUGACACUACAUAUAUGUAUCCCCCAUCGACUGUAAUACAGGCGUUUCAAUAUGAGUGUUCUAACAAUCAUACGAGAUUUGAAGGAGAACUGCCCUACCUCAUAGAUGGCAGGUUGAGGUAGAAGUCAAGUUCUUUAACCAUUAAUGGAGUUUUCGCAUCAUUGUUUCUAUUUCUAGUAUCGAUUUCUGCAACUUCGGCACAAUAUGUUCAAGAUUCAGAGCUUGUAAUUAAUGGAACUUUACCAAUAUCACAUACGGAUGCAAAUUACAUUUGUGCUACUAUCGAUUGGUGGCCUGAUGACAAGUGUAACUACAAGCAUUGCCCAUGGGGGUCGUCAUUUGCUCUAAAUCUGGAUUUAUCUAAUCCGAUUCUUAGAAAAGCAGUCCAAGGUUUGGUGAUAUCAUAUUUUCAGGGAAAUGAGUUGAGUGGUAAUGGUGUUGGUGCCAUGGUCCAUGCUGAACAGUAUGGGAACGAUUUAAUUGAACUCAGGGGUAUAAUUGACGAUCUAUACAGACGAAUCCAGCCAAAACCACUGCUUGUAGCCCCUGGAGGGUUCUUUGAUAAAGAAUGGUUUGCACUUUGCAAAGCUUCUUAAGGAAACAGGUUCACAAAUUGUGAGUGUCAUGACACUCCAUAUGUCAUUCAUUAAGCUAUCCACUAAAUGCCACCACAUCUCUACUUCCAUGGUCUCUCAUUUGUUUCACAAUAAAUUAUCUUUUUUUUUGUGCAAACAAUUGUUCUUUGCCAAGUAGAAAAAGUUAAAGACGACAUGUUCAAUAAGCUAUACGGUUCCAUAAGGUUAGCUCUUCUAUUUGAAACAAGUUGUAUUGAGACUAAGACUCGUGUCAAUAGGACAAAUUUUCCUUUCAUUCCCUCACCUAAAUAUGGUGGAUAGAUGUCAGUGGGUUAAAAGUACAGUUUUUGAAAACGAUACGAGAAAUGCUCUUACUAAAUAACAUCACAUCCCUAAUCCAUUUUGGUGCUACUCUCUCAAAAUAAAGCAUUGCUUCAUUAAAGAAACAAGUUAUAUUUGAUUACAGUACUAAAAAGAGAAAUUCAAAUCCUUUUGAGUAUGCCCUCUAGUUAUACUGCAAUAUCUUUUCUCUUUUUGGAAUUUGAUGUUUUAGCCGAAGCGAUGAGGAUAAUUUAUCCAAGAUGCAUUAGCAGAAGCAAGUCUACACACGAGUUGUGUACCACGAUUUCAUCUCAAGUUCUACCCAAAGGCAACAAAUAGUUGUUGUUUCUUACUAAUUAAGUGAUUCAAGAUCAUGUCAUUGGUAGAGAUUUAUAAUAUCUUUUCAAUUUCAUCUAAAGUCGAUUAAUUGGUGUUUGGGGCUUACAAACUUCAGAUUUUUUGGGUGGCAUCUAAUGUAAAUUUGACAACUUUCAAAGUGCAUAUGACUCCAUGUUAUGCAAUCUUACAUAUCAAAUUAAUUGUUGUAACAAAAUCCUUUAUGUAGCAUGUAGAGAAGAUUAUGUGGCCAUUUAAGCUAUUUGUUUCCAUAUAAAUCGCAAUUUAUUGUCCUUUUACUAAA